rnacentral:rRNA from 1 species
UACGUAGGCAGCAAGCGUUGUUCGGAAUUACUGGGCGUAAAGAGUGUGUAGGCGGUGUUCUAAGUCUGUUGUGAAAUCUCCCGGCUUAACUGGGAGGGUGCGGCGGAAACUGGAAUGCUAGAGGAUGGGAGAGGUAAGCGGAAUUCCUGGUGUAGCGGUGAAAUGCGUAGAUAUCGGGAGGAACACCAGUGGCGAAGGCGGCUUUCUGGUCUGCUCUUGACGCUGAGGCGCGAAAGCUAGGGUAGCAAACGGG